rnacentral:lncRNA from 1 species
CUUCCAGGGUAGACAGUGGUGACGGUGGCACAACCUUGUGAUUACGCUAGAAGCCACUGAGCUGCACACUUUAAAAGGAUAAAUUGUGUGGCAUAUGAAUUCUCAAUUCUCAAUAAUAAGAAUGCUGUCCCGAAAGCCUCUUUCUACUAAGAGAAUUGCCUUGUCCCCAACGCACAUCUCUUAGUCGUUGGGACAUCUAGGCAGAGGUCAUCAAACCUAGCCACUGCGUAGAACCACCUGGAGAGUUUUUAAUAUCCAUGUUCCCAGGCCACAGCCACAACCUAGGUUGUUAAAUCAGUAAACCCAGGUUGGACCUAAAUCUUAGUAUCUUUUAAAGUUCCCUAGGUGAUUCCGAUGUGUAGUCAAGUUUUAGAACUACUGAUUUAGCCCGUGGUUUGAACCUUCCUGAUAGUACUCAUUGUGCCCUGCCAUGAAUUUUUUUUUUUUUUUUAAGAGAGGAGUCUUGCUGUGUCACUCAGUUGGAAUGCAGUGGCAUGAUUAUAGCUCACUGCAGCCUUGAAUGCCUGGGCUCAAGCAAUCCUCCCACCACAGCCUCUUGAGUAGCUGGGACUACAGGCGAGUGCCACCACACCCAGCUGUCAUCUACCAUCUUCUACCCUAUGAACCCUCCAAGAUCAGGAAAUGUGUCCGUUUCUUCUUUGUCAGCCUCACAAACUUUUUUUUUAAGUUCAACUAUCCCUGUCAUUACUAACUAUUCCCCCAUGAUCCCUAGCCUACACUUUUCUGUGGAUGAAAAUGUAAUGUAUUCGAGAAUUUUAACAAUUUCUUAGUUUUCCCAUUCACAUUCACUGAUAAUUUAUUUUGAUCCUCAUAAUUUAUUGAGCACAGCAGGGACCGGGGUCCUUUCCCCACCUUAGAGAGAUUAUUUUCACUGCUAAAGAUCAUAAGCCUAGUGAGAGACUGGGAGGGAGAUGGACCUAGCUCUCCUGACACAGGUCCCAAGCCCUUACCUCCACGGUGUCUACCCUCCCUCCAGGACUUCCUCCGUGUGCCAGCUCCAGCAAAGGAUCUGAUUCAGCUCGCCCCCAAAAAAGACUUUUAAUAGUUCAAUAACAAUAAUGAAUAUGCAAGGUUUGUUCUAAGGCAUUUAGAAAUGGUUUCAGGGAGUCAUGAAGCCAGUCCUCUCUUGGGCUAGGGGAGGCCGAGAUGGUCUUGAGCUCCAGGGGACUUGUUUCUUAGUGCCCAGGCCUGGGCGCCCCUCCCCCACCAAGCCUCCCAGGUCUUCUGUCCAAAGCCCUCCCCCUCCACCCCACCUCCAACCCCGUCUGCUCUACCCCAUCAACUACGUUUUCUCCCUCAGCACUUGCCUUAUACCCCAUGCACUCACGAGCACAGAGGCGACUUCCCUCUCUCAGACUUUAGGCGCCACUGCAGGGUCCGGAAAAGAAAGAGAAACGGCCCAGCGCGGUCGCUUACAUAACCCAGGGCGGGGCUCCGCUCCGCCCCCGAAAGUUUUUGCGACGGAGUUUUCCCUCUUGUUGCCCAGGCUGAAGUGCAAUGGCGCGAUCUCGGCUCACCGCAACCUCCGCCUCCAAGGUUUAAGCGAUUCUCCUGCCUCAGCCUCCCGACUAGCUGGGAUUACAGGCAUUCACCACCAAGCCCGUCUAAUUUUAUAUUUUUAGUAGAGACGGGAUUUCCCCAUGUUGGUCAGGUUGGUCUCGAGCUCCCGACCUCAGGUGAUCGCCCGCCUCGACCUCCCAAAGUGCUGGGAUUACAGGCGUGAACCACCGUGCCCGGCCUUGGCCGCAUGUGUUUUGAAUUUUGCUGCCCGGAAUUCACUGCGAGGACUGGGAUCACCCGUCACCCCGCCCUGGUCUACGGAAAAUGAAAUGUGUUUACUGAUAUAGAAACGGAAUAACGGCGCUGUGGGCUGGGGAGGGCCGAGCUGCCUUCAGGCUUCUGGUCUCCAGCUGCAGGGCACUCACACCUGCCCGUUAUGAAAAUGCAGACCCGCAGGGCAGGAAUUCCGAGUCCGGGCUGGAGCGUGAUCUGGAAUCCGGCUCUCUUGAAACAGCACCGCGGAGGAUUCGGAUCCGGCAAAGAGAUUCACAGUGUGAGCGAAAUUCAACGUGAGGGGCUUCCUCCGCUGUGAGCUUUGAAAAUGAAGGGGCCAUGUGGCAAAGGAUAUGACGGGCUCCAGGAAUUGAGAACAGCUCCACCCCACCUCCACCUGACAGCUGCCCAGGAACAAGGACUACAAUCCCACAACUGCCUGAAACUGAAUUCUGCCACCAAGCUCUGUAUAAGCUGGAAGGAGGACCCCAGCCUCAAGAUGAGGACACAGCUUCGUGAAAUCCUGAGCUGAGAAUCAUUCACACCAGGCCUGGAUUUCUCAUUAAGGAAAUGUAGAGAAAUAAAUGGGUGCUGUGUAGAGCCAGUGAGUUAGUGGUAAUAUGUUAUGCAGUAACAGAAAAUUCAUACAUAGACCAACAGAUAAGCAUAUAACAUUUUCUCGAUUGGAAUAAAUUAGUGAAUUGAAAUGUACACUCCUUGUAUAAGAUAAAAUCUUUCCUAAUUUUUUGUAUUCUUCAUUUUAUAAU